CCAUUACCGAGUGGUUCCGACUCUAGUCAUCGACCAGACUCUCCUACUAGUCGGUGUGACCUUGACUUUGUGCCAGGUCUGAGGAUGCCCUCCGUCGUCACCCCUUAGAACGCGUUACCUGCUUUCAGACUGCGUCGGUGCGGCGCGCUCACUUCUUCCGGAAGCCCAACAUUUCGAGACAGCCUUCCCUGUUUUUGGGAAAUCCAAUUAUCGGAUCUCCGAACUACCAUGGAAGUUUCCUUCGUGGCCGAUUGAAGCACGGUCGUCGGCGCCAUUAUGCUUCCCACGUUCGCAACGAGCCUUAAUAACCCGCAUUUCCCUUCCAUCCACCAAUGCAUACAGACUCCACUUUCGGGGUUCGAAUUGAACCCUCCACGGAACCUUUGCCGCAUUGAUCUCAUGACCUCUCCAAACAUCUUAAGGGCCACAUCGCCACUUUACGCAUCUCUAGCCCUCCUUAUGGUCUCCGCUUCCGCCGUUUGACCUGUCAAUGACUGUGAUUUGAAGCUUUCGCACCCCUCGUUUGUCCUAAUCUAUGGGACGAUCAGGUGCGACAUUUGCUACCCAUGAUCCUAAGCGCCCUCAACUGGGGACGCCUAGGCCUCGAUUGCGCUAUUCAUGGGGCG
rnacentral:rRNA from 1 species